GAUUCAUGAUAACUUCUCGAAUCGCAUGGCCUUGCGCCGGCGAUGGUUCAUUCAAAUUUCUUCCCUAUCAACUUUCGAUGUUUGGGUAUUGGCCAAACAUGGUUGCAACGGGUAACGGAGGGUUAGGGCUCGACCCCGGAGAAGGAGCCUGAGAAACGGCUACUACAUCCAAGGAAGGCAGCAGGCGCGCAAAUUACCCAAUCCCGACACGGGGAGGUAGUGACAAUAAAUACUGAUACAGGGCUCUUUUGGGUCUUGUAAUUGGAAUGAGUACAAUUUAAAUCCCUUAACGAGGAACAAUUGGAGGGCAAGUCUGGUGCCAGCAGCCGCGGUAAUUCCAGCUCCAAUAGCGUAUAUUAAAGUUGUUGUGGUUAAAAAGCUCGUAGUUGAACCUUGGGCCUGGCUGGCCGGUCCGCCUCACCGCGUGUACUGGUCCGGCCGGGCCUUUCCCUCUGUGGAACCCCAUGCCCUUCACUGGGUGUGGCGGGGAACCAGGACUUUUAC
rnacentral:rRNA from 1 species